rnacentral:miRNA from 1 species
GGGGAGGCUCAGAGACUGAGCUGCUCAGUGCGCUCUUCUGUCCCGCUCCCAG